AUACGGGAGGCAGCAGUUGGGAAUCUUGCGCAAUGGGCGAAAGCCUGACGCAGCGACGCCGCGUGUGGGAUGACGAUCUUCGGAUUGUAAACCACUUUUCUCGAGGACGAUAAUGACGGUACUCGAGGAAGAAGCCCCGGCUAACUCCGUGCCAGCAGCCGCGGUAAGACGGGGGGGGCGAGCGUUGUCCGGAAUUACUGGGCGUAAAGCGCGCGUAGGCGGUCGCCUACGGCGGUGGUGAAAGCUCCCGGCUCAACUGGGAGAGGCCCGCCGCAACGGGGCGACUCGAGGGAGGUAGAGGCGGAUGGAAUUCCUGGUGUAGCGGUGAAAUGCGUAGAGAUCAGGAGGAACACCCGUGGCGAAGGCGGUCCGCUGGGCCUUGCCUGACGCUGAGGCGCGAAAGCGCGGGGAGCGAACGGGAUUAGAUACCCCUGUAGUCCC
rnacentral:rRNA from 1 species